GGAGAGGUGGCGGAGCUGGCUGAACGCGCACGCUUGGAAAGCGUGUAGGCGGUGUAAACCGUCUCGAGGGUUCGAAUCCCUCCCUCUCCG
rnacentral:tRNA from 1 species